ensembl:misc_RNA 7SK 7SK RNA
GGAUGUGAAGGCAAUCUGGCUGUGACCUCUGCCAUCCUUGAUCACUAGGGUUGGUUCAGCUAAUCUGCUAGGUAUCCCCUUCCUGUCUGUCCGCUCAGUGUGCAUCCCUCCUGAAGGUAGAAGAGGACCAUCUGCAAUAGAGGGCCAUUUCCUCAUAAGGAGUACAGCAGUAGCUACACUCCCUGGCUAGAACCUCCAGAUAUGCCCUUGGGGUGGGGGGAGGCUGACUAAAUGAAAAUCAAAAACUUCUCUGCCAAGUGUGGUGGCACAA